CUUAAUACUUUUCACCGUAUCUGAAAUGAUGCCCUACAUUUUUUUUUUUUUCAAAGGCAUUUUCCCCCCACAAGAUGACUGGCAAUUUUGUGUUCUAGCCACCCUCAGACAUGAAAACACUUGGUUGCUUAUCUUGUAAAAUCUGCUCUGCUUGCUUGCUUGGGCAUGUAUGUAGUCAGUUUAGUCAAAUACGUGUCAGUACAUCUAUGUGGAUGGGGAGCAGGUGCAAGCCCUUAAAAACGUACUUUAAAAAACUUUAACACUUAAGUCAGUCCACUGAGCUGAUCCUGUGUGAUCUUAGUGCCAAGCGUCUGAGUUUAAAGUUUUCCCUUUGAAGGCAGCAAAUAGAUGUCAUACAUUUGAAGCAUUUGUUUAUACUAAAUAUGAUGCUUGAUUUUUUUUUAAGUUCUAAGACAGUUCACUGUUCAACACCAUUGAGCCUGCAGGGUGGUAUAAAGCUUCCAAAGCUGGUAUUUGAGGUUUGAUUUAAUGGAUAUUGGAAUUUUCAAUGCUGCAGUUGGCUUCAAAUAAGGUGUUUAACAUGGGCUCAGGCUAGAAAAAACAGCGGGAAUUGAUUUCCUUCUGAGAAAGGGAGUCAGCAAAGAAAUAACUUUCUGCCUUUGCUUGGUGACAGCACCUCUUUGUAAAGUAAAAUGUCCUGUGAGGCUCUUCUGUGUAGCAGCCUUAUUUUAUUUUAAGAAGCAC
rnacentral:lncRNA from 1 species